GUUGUACUCCCUCCGUUCGGAAUUACUUGUCUCGGAAAUGGAUGUAUCUAGAACUAAAAUACAUCUAGAUACAUCCAUUUUCGAGACAAGUAAUUCCAAACGGAGGGAGUAUUUC
rnacentral:pre_miRNA from 1 species